rnacentral:lncRNA from 1 species
UCCCGGUAUAUGAUGCAAAUCAGAUAUGCGAUUCUCACGGCUGUUGUGCCAUGUAAUUAGGAGUCUAUCUCACUCACUUCGUUGCAUUUCCGACGCAUUCAUUUCGGCCUGAACUUCGUCCUCAGCAUUAGGUAGCUCCACCUCAGCUACAUCGUCAUCCGUUUCCACUCGAGCAAAUGCCUCGUCCACAACUCCAACACGACUUAGAAAAUUAUGAAUACCCAUUGUGGCUAGGACAACUACAACUUGUGUUUCAAACGAGUAACUAAGCAUAUGGUCAAGGAAUUUCCAUCGUUGCUUCGAUACACCAAAUGCAUGUUCAAUGAAAUUAUUGUACGAAGAGUGUCUGAAGUUGAACCUCUCAUGAGCAUUCUGAAACGUACGACGCUGACCUGUUCGUUCAUUGUAGGACUAUUGAAAGUGGUACAGUAUAUCUGAAUCUUUAUACGGGGUCAUAUACCCCGAUCGAUGGGUAAAAUCGGAGUCCACCAAAUAACACUUUCUCGGUGCCAGAUGCAAAAAAUAUAUUUUCGGACUGAAUAUGGCACGCGCUAGGAUACGUACAUCAUGCGUAUUCCUGGUGUACCUGGCAAGCACGAACGUGAAACAUAAAUUGAAGUCACAUGCGGCCAACACAUUUUGAGUCGGUACGCCUCUCCCACCAAAGAAGUUCACACGCUCAUGAAGCGGUAGCACAGCUCUCACAUGUGUUUCGUCUAUAGCCCCAAUGAAAUCCUGAAAUAGCAGAUGCUUGUUUGGAUCCAGCCUGUGUAGCUCGACACCAUCAUUGUGGUUUCGAGUCGGUUGUAUAGUAUGUUCCAAAAGUGCAACGACGACAUGUAGCACCUAUUUAACAAAUUGACAAACGAUUUACAGAGAAUGGUUGAAGAUUGUUGUCACCUGUCGGUAUCCCUUCCCAUGUGCAAGUUUGCACAUAAACUUGCCCACUUUCUCAUAAAUAUCCACCUGCUAGCUACUUGUUAAGCCAUACUCGUCUCGCAGGACAUGUGUAAAGUGUCGCAACAUUGGCGGGUACAUUCGAAACUCCUAAUGGCAAAUCAGAUCGUUCCUGCUCAUGGCCUCCAUCAUGAACAUGUGGCCAUUUCUGGUGAACAGGAAUUGUCUAACACGAUUGUGCUGUGCGCGAUAAUAUGUCCUCACUAUGGCACUCAACAAAUCACUGAAGCAUAACACCGAUUGAAGAUAAAUACAAUAUGUCACGCAACAAAUAUACGUGAGAAAAGCAUGUGUAAGUUCGUAAACUAAUUUUCAUCAUGAGAUGUACUAAUAUUUGGGUUAUAGCAUUAAGGGGGCCGGUAUAUUGGAGCAAUCCAGUCGACAUUUUCAUUUGGGGAGGAUUUCAGGGUAAAGGCAGUGCUGAAAUUCAUAAACUUCGGACAAUGUUUCAAUCCAAAAAUUGCAGACAUGAAAAAUGAAAUGAAAGAAAUCGUAGCCGUACUCGAAGUUUUCUCGUCCACCAUUCCUCAGAAGCAACGAUCUGGCCCAUUGACAGAUCGUAUUCAAUCCCGCUGCAAGAAAGGAGGUCGCGGAGGCGUGUGUAAUCACAAUGCAUUGCAUCCCAAUGGUUGUAGAGUUGUUACUUUGUCCAAUUGUGUUGAAACUACGAAUUUACGUGCUCCCACCCUU